rnacentral:tRNA from 1 species
GGUGGCAUAGUGGUUAAAGCACUGGGCUGCUAACCUAAAGGUGGGUGAUUCGAAUCCACCAGCCA